ACGGAAGGCAGCAGUGGGGAAUAUUGCACAAUGGGCGAAAGCCUGAUGCAGCGACGCCGCGUGAGUGAAGAAGUAUCUCGGUAUGUAAAGCUCUAUCAGCAGGGAAGAAAAUGACGGUACCUGACUAAGAAGCCCCGGCUAACUACGUGCCAGCAGCCGCGGUAAUACGUAGGGGGCAAGCGUUAUCCGGAUUUACUGGGUGUAAAGGGAGCGUAGACGGUUUGGCAAGUCUGAAGUGAAAUGCGGGGGCUCAACUCCUGAACUGCUUUGGAAACUGUCGAACUAGAGUGCAGGAGAGGUAAGUGGAAUUCCUAGUGUAGCGGUGAAAUGCGUAGAUAUUAGGAGGAACACCAGUGGCGAAGGCGGCUUACAGGACUGUAACUGACGUUGAGGCUCGAAAGCGUGGGGAGCAAACAGGAUUAGAUACCCUGGUA
rnacentral:rRNA from 1 species